rnacentral:rRNA from 1 species
AGCAGUCGCCGCGGUAAUACGUAGGGCGCAAGCGUUGUCCGGAAUUAUUGGGCGUAAAGAGCUCGUAGGCGGUCUGUCGCGUCUGGUGUGAAAUCCCGAGGCUCAACCUCGGGCUUGCAUCGGGUACGGGCAGACUAGAGUGCGGUAGGGGAGACUGGAAUUCCUGGUGUAGCGGUGGAAUGCGCAGAUAUCAGGAGGAACACCGAUGGCGAAGGCAGGUCUCUGGGCCGCAACUGACGCUGAGGAGCGAAAGCAUGGGGAGCGAACAGGAUUAGAUACCCCCGUAGUCCCUGUCUCUUAUAA